rnacentral:rRNA from 1 species
ACUCAAAGGAAUUGACGGGGGCCCGCACAAGCGGUGGAGCAUGUGGUUUAAUUCGAUGCAACGCGAAGAACCUUACCAAGGCUUGACAUGGCAGUGACAGGCGUAGAGAUACGCCCUCCUUCGGGCACUGCACACAGGUGGUGCAUGGUUGUCGUCAGCUCGUGUCGUGAGAUGUUGGGUUAAGUCCCGCAACGAGCGCAACCCUUAUCGUUAGUAGCCAUCAUUGAGUUGGGCACUCUAGCGAGACUGCCGCGGAUAACGCGGAGGAAGGUGGGGACGAUGUCAAAUCAUCAUGCCCUUUAUGCCUUGGGCAACACACGUGCUACAAUGGCUGCAACAAAGUGAUGCAAAGCCGUGAGGCGGAGCCAAUCACAAAAAAGCAGUCUCAGUUCGGAUUGCAGGCUGCAACUCGCCUGUAUGAAGCUGGAAUCGCUAGUAAUCGCGAAUCAGCAUGUCGCGGUGAAUACGUUCCCGGGCCUUGCACACACCGCCCGU